ACCCCGUCAAAAGAACAGGAGAUAGAAACUCGUCAAAAAAACGAGAUGGACAACUCGUCAAAACAAACGAGAUAAAGUACACAAUAUUAAUUAGAAAGACAAAAGCAUAGAAAGAUGAAAAGUAGGGUGGAAAAACCAAAAUAGGUUGGUGGCUCAAAAAUCACGGAUUCCAAGUUACCAACACAAAACCCAACAAACUAAAUAUAUUAUUUUAUUAAAAGAAAGAGAGACGGGAGAGGAAGCUGAAGCGGCGGCGGUGGGAGGCAAAGGCGUGGCUGCGUUACCGGCGGUGGGGCGGAGGUGAGAGGCGAGGGCUUGGCUGCGCGGUGGCGGAGGAGAUGCUGCGGUGGUGGCGGCGGAGGUGCGGUGAGAGUGGGAGUUAAAGGUGUUACGGUGUGGAAGGCGGAGGAGUUGCGGCGAUGGGUGGGGCGAGGCUGCGAAGAUGGGUGGUGUUGGUGACCGGCGCAGAGGUGGGAGGCGGAGGAGAGAGGUGGAGGAGCCGCGGUGGUGCAAGUCGGAGGUGCGAGGGAGAAGAAGAGGACGGUGGCAGUUGUCAAAGAGGGCAGGCGCCGCCUCCGCUACGCAAGCGGAGGCGGCGACCGCCGGAAAGAAAGGAGAGAGCCGGCAACUGCCGGAGGAAAAGAAGGAAGCGGAAAAAAAGGCUAGAGAGAAAGAGGAUGCUCUGCACGGAGUAGCAGAGUUAAAGGGAAUAUAUAUCGGUCUACGAGCCCUCCAUACCAAGUACUUGGUCGGUUACGAAUCGUCUUGGCAGCCGGAAAAACCUCAACCUUAACCGACUAGAAAUUUGUUGAUGGCCGACCCAACCUGAAGGUUCAUUAGGUCGGCGGACUGGUAGGCUGUAAUCUUAGCUUUCAUGUGCUCAGUGCCGACCUGACCUCCCAGCAGAGAGCCCAAGCAUGUACGCCUAACGCUUGAACAACUAAUCCUGGGGGGUGUACGCCUAACGCCCGGGGGGCGUUCCCUUGACAUCCUUACACACAGCCGAUCACAUAUGAAUUCGUCUAUGAUUUAUUGCUCGUACACAUCCGAUUGUUUUGUUACAAUGUAGUAUUUGUUCAUAACUACUUUCUCAAUCUACUACUGAAGCACAAAGAGUCAAUAUUGCCUCCAUUAAGCCUUCAGCCCGCAACCUCCCAUAUGAGAGUGUAACUUGGUGCCACUAGACCACAAGGUCUUGGUUGAGGUCGGAAUUCUGGCAGAUGCCUUGACUGCAUGGGCAGCUGCUGAGUAGGAAAUGGACGGACCCAACGAGAAUAUCCUUGAUGCAGGUGACGACAUAGAACUCAAAAGGUGACGCCGGAGGUUUCACUUGAGAUGAAGUCAGGUGAGAUUCAAAAGAGGAACUUCUUGUUCCAAGUGGGGUUUUCUCCGCUGAAUCGGUCGAUACUUGUUCCGAGCUUGGCAAAGGAGUUGACCCAGGCAAGAGCGUAUGUUUGCAUUCGGCAAAGGUAGGAGCUUGAGAUCGUGCGCCACAUAUUGACCCAUAUUAUAAAAUAUCCAACCCGUUUUACGAAUUGAGAUUCGUGAGACGGUCUUACACAAGUUUUUGCCAUAAAAAAUUAUUUAAAUUUAAUUUAAAUCAUUGUAUUAGAAGGUAUGUCAAAAAUAUGUAAAUGGAACAUAAAAUGUUCAUGAUAUGUUUUCAUCAUGAUAUGAUAUCAUU